rnacentral:rRNA from 1 species
UUCCCGGGUCUUGUACACCACCGCCCGUCACACCACGAAAGUUGGCAAUACCCGAAGCCGGUGGCCUAACCCGCAAGGGAGGGAGCCGUCGAAGGUAGGGUCGAGUGAGUUGGGGUG